rnacentral:rRNA from 1 species
GACGAACGCUGGCGGCGUGCUUAACACAUGCAAGUCGAACGGAAAGGCCCUGCUUUUGUGGGGUGCUCGAGUGGCGAACGGGUGAGUAACACGUGAGUAACCUGCCCUUGACUUUGGGAUAACUUCAGGAAACUGGGGCUAAUAUCGGAUAGGAGCUCCUGCGGCAUGUUGGGUGUUGGAAAGUUUCGGCGGUUGGGCAUGGACUCGCGGCUUUUCAUCUUGUUGGUGGGGUAGUGGCUUACCAAUGCUUUGACGGGUGGCCGGCCUGAGAGGGUGACCGGCCCCAUUGGGACUGAGGUACGGACAAGAGUCCUACGGGAGGCAGCGGUGGAGAAUAGUGCACACUAGGCGGAAGCAUGGUGCAGCAACGCCGCGUGCGGGAUGACGGCCUUCGGGGUGUAAACCGCUUUCGCGUGUGACGAAGCGUGAGUGACGGUAAUGGGUAAAGAAGGACCGGCUAACUACGUG